CCGGCUUAUCGAGCACUUGGAGGCUGCAGAUUUGUGGCGGAGGCACAGGCGAGGUUUUCCACUCCUUUGCAAAGGCGUAACCCAGCCCCAGGGUCCCACCUGUGACCAGCUGGCCCCGCAGUGGCUGCUCCCCUUAAACACCAAGAAGGAAAUGAACUCCGUUCUAAUUAGGAAUCCCCCAGUCCUGUUUGAAGUCUGCAAGUCCCAACAGCAGACGCAGCAGCUUGGGAGGAGAACACCGCUGGGAGCCCAGCCGCCCUCAGCCCCAGCCCUGGCCCGGCCUGCUCCCAGGAUUGCCUGUCCCCUGCGAGAUCAAACAGGACAAGGCUGCUUUUUCCCUCUCCUUUCUUCUCUUCCUUGCACUCCGGGGCCCCAUAUUUUCUGAGUCACUUAAAUCAUUACCGAAAGACGUCUAGGUUCACAGACACGGAACCCUUUCAAAGAGAAGGACGGGCGCUCAAAAGUGGAGCUCGGAAAAGUACAGAGGAAGCAUUCCCAGUCCCAAGAUUUAAUCAGUCACUCCUUCAGGGAACCCACCAACAGCUCCGCCUGCUCUCGCCUUCCUCGCCUGCCAUCUCCAGGGUUGGCAACACUUCUGAAUGACCUCAGUCACGCCCUAGGACGGUCCUGUCUGCUCAGUGGAUAUUGUGGCUGAUCUUGUUGACUUUUUUAUAAUUUGUUUUUGUUCAUUUUUUU